AGUUAGUCCUCAACAAGGUGGUACGAGUUUCAUAGGUGGGCCAGAUCCUAUAAACCAAGUUCAAACUGUACGUACGCCACCGGUUCAAGCCUCAGAUAUCGCUCGAGGAAAUGGUCGAGGUAGCGAAGGUCAUGUAGGAAAGUCCUCACUUAGGGGUGAUUCUGCUCGUCAUGCAAACAUGCCUACUAUUCCUAUUCCCACCACAGUUAGUCCUCAACAAGGUGGUACGAGUUCCAUAGGUGGGCCAGAUCCUAUAAACCAUGUUCAAACUUUAGGUACGCCACGGUUCAAGCGUCGGAUCACGGUAGUAACCCAACCAUCCCCGAAUUAUCUCCCAUUACACACGAUACGAGCGGCCCGGUAGAUGAGGGUACAUCAAACCAGAGCAACACUGUCAGCGAAGAAGAGUCCAGUAGUCGUCGUAGACAGCGGACACUUACACUUGUUACUCUUACUCCUGCAGGGUUGGAACCUUCUAAAGAAUGCUCUAAUACCAUAUCCGCAUCUUUCAAAAAUCAACUUGAUCCCAAUGGAAUCAAUUGGAAAGGUGUCUCAGAAGAUACUAGAAAUUUUUAUUUUGGGGAAUUCAAGAAGACAUACCAUUGGGACUCUUCGAUUCCUGAGAGUGUAAUAAGAAAACAUUGGAAUACUAAGGCAGCAACAAAGUAUAGGAAUUUCAUUAGAAAAAUUAAACAUAAAAGGGUUAAGCCGUAUUAUGUGUCUGAUAAUGUGUGGGAACGCUGGUUACAACUUUGGGCGGAUCCUAAGUGUGUCGAAAAGUCGGAGAUAAAUGCAAAGAAUCGUUGUGGAGGGAAAGAAGUUGCUGCCGGGACUCACACGGGUGGCUCUAUCUGCAUUGGGGAGCAUCGCAAGAGACUUGCUGUUACAAAGGGUCGAGAUCCAACACCAGGUGAGGUACAUUUGCAUGUCCAUACACAUGAUCAUGAUGGAGAAUCUUUUGUUGAUGAGCGUGCCCGAGCUGUCCAUGAAAGAUAUCAAGAAAUAUUACGGGAAAAAUCACAAUCUCGGUCGAUAUUGAUCAAUGUGAAGCAUAUUACGAAGGCUGGGGGGGAACAAGGAAGAGAAGAAUAUAUGGUCUUGGAUCUCAAUCACAAAGUUAUUAUGGGCCGAAUCUUUGCGUCAAUUUUGGCUUUAAUGCUUCAGCAUCAGCAGCACCUUCAACUUCUCAAUUAGCACCUACAGAAAAUAUGGAGGAGUUAGUGAUGCGAUUGAUUCCUACACUGACUGAUCGCUUGCUUCCUUUAUUUAUUGAGAAGGCACGCGGAGUGAUUUCUUCACCAUCACAUCAUCCGGAUACUCCGUCGACAAACCAUCGGUUGUGACACCCAUAGUGCCUCCUCCUACUACUGCUAACGUUGACGAUGUUGAUCCUUUAGUUUCUGAUGAUGAUCGUAGUCCUUCACCCAUGCAUUAGUUUUUUUAUGUUAUUUGCUUUUUGUUGGAAAGAACAAACUUAUGCACAAACAAUACUUGAUGGAUGUGUGGGUUCUUUUGGUAGUUGAUAACUCGGUGUUGUCGGUGUUUUGGACUUAACGAUUGGGAUUUCGCUAUCUAUUUUGAACUUUUUUUAUAAAUAUUAUUUUAUGUGAAUGUCAGUUAUUUUUAAGGGUA